AUUGAACGCUGGCGGAAUGCUUUACACAUGCAAGUCGAACGGCAGCACGGACUUCGGUCUGGUGGCGAGUGGCGAACGGGUGAGUAAUGUAUCGGAACGUGCCCAGUCGUGGGGGAUAACGUAGUGAAACUUACGCUAAUACCGAGUACGAGCUAUGGAUGAAAGCGGGGGAUCGCAAGACCUCGCGCGAUUGGAGCGGCCGAUAUCAGAUUAGGUAGUUGGUGGGGUAAAGGCCCACCAAGCCAACGAUCUGUAGCUGGUCUGAGAGGACGACCAGCCACACUGGAACUGAGACACGGUCCAGACUCCUACGGGAGGCAGCAGUGGGGAAUUUUGGACAAUGGGCGAAAGCCUGAUCCAGCCAUUCCGCGUGCAGGAUGAAGGCCCUCGGGUUGUAAACUGCUUUUGUACAGAACGAAAAGGUUUCUACUAAUACUAGGAGCUCAUGACGGUACUGUAAGAAUAAGCACCGGCUAACUACGUGCCAGCCGCCGCCGUAA
rnacentral:rRNA from 1 species